GGGACACAGGUUCACAGGAUGAGGUCUGCAGGUGUGUUGAGACUGACAUCCUGAGAGCCCCUACCGUAGGUGUGUCUCCCAGCUGCUCCGUGUGGAAUACAUUUGUUGAGUGGGAAGAUCCCUUCUACAUAUGCUAGUAUAUAGAUCUGGUGAUAAGCUUAGGAAUGCUAUACUUAGUGUGGUCUGUUGCUUUGUGUUUCCUUGUAAGCUGAGACUGAGCGAAUGCAGAAUUUAAUUGUAACUUUGCCAGUACAUCUAUCUUGAGGCCUGCUGCCUUUUUUGUCUUCUAUGAAAUUUCUGUUGCC
rnacentral:lncRNA from 1 species